rnacentral:rRNA from 1 species
UACGUAGGCAGCAAGCGUUGUUCGGAGUUACUGGGCGUAAAGGGUGUGUAGGCGGUUGUUUAAGUUUGGUGUGAAAUCUCCCGGCUUAACUGGGAGGGUGCGCCGAAUACUGAAUGACUUGGAGUGCGGGAGAGGAGAGUGGAAUUCCUGGUGUAGCGGUGAAAUGCGUAGAUAUCAGGAGGAACACCGGCGGUGUAGACGGCUCUCUGGACCGUAACUGACGCUGAAACACGAAAGCGUGGGUAGCAAACAGG